UCUCAGUUCAGCUGAGGCCUCAGGGAAGGUUCUGGAACAUUCUCCAGUCACAAGCAACACAAAAUGGCCACUGGAAUACAAAAUGGCUGUCGUAACACAAAACGGCCAUCUCUGCCUCAGCACUUGCCUCAGCACAGCAAAGUCUGAAGGGAUUUCCAAACUGUAACAACACCUAAGAUUUCCUGAUACUAUCAGGGCCGGCUCAUCCAUAUAGGUGAGCUAGGCAGCUGCCUAGGGGCGCCAACCUCUAGGGGGCGCCAGGGAGAGAGAGAGAAAGAGAGAGAGUGGCUGGAGCCGGAGGAUCAUAGAAGCAGGCAAGCAGAGCAGCCAGCAGCCAGUAGCACUGUGAGUAGCAGGGAGAGAGAGCUGCUUGCUGAGGCUGGAAGGGGGGAGAAAGUUUGCUGCACUCUGCAACUCCUGGGCUGCAUCCACACUGGAGAAUUAACCCGCGUUACAAGGCAUUCACCGCUCCCUGCAUCCAAAGCAUUUUGUUGCCCAAUGAAAGGCAUCCUCAAAGGAUUCAAACUUCUGGAACGGAAGAUCUCCCAGGAGUUUCUUCUUAUUAAGCAGGUAAGUUUGUCCAUCUCCACCAGAUCUAAUACUUUUAUUAUCCAUGUAUUGUAAUCAAUGGUAUCCUUCUUUUUCCAGUUUGAAGCGUAAAUUAGUCACGCUGCUGAAUUUAAGUAAAAUAUGCCAUGCUUUUUUUCUAAAUCAUCUAUUGGGAUCAUUCCUAGUAAAUAAUAUUCUGGUGUCAUGGGGAAGUUAUAAUUCAAUAUCUAUUGUGUCCAUUUAUGAAUCUGCUUCCAGAAUCUGGAUGCAUAGGGGCAGUUCCACCAUAGAUGAAAGAAAGAACCAGGAGUUUUAUUGCACUUCCAGCAAUUUUGGGUUUUGGUUUGUAUAAAUUUUUGCAAGCUUUGAUGGUGUUAGGUACCAGCGGAAUUGCAUUUUAUAAUAAUUUUCCUUGAGGGCAUAACAUGAAGUAUACUUUAUCC